rnacentral:lncRNA from 1 species
GGAUAUCUUAUAUAAUAUUUCGAAAUUUAAGAAUUUUUUUCCAUUUUUUUAAUUUUGAGAAAUGGUUUUUUAUCACGACAACGAACAUUGUAUAAUUGUAUUCCUCAUUUGAUGAUUCUCAUCUAGGUUUAGAUUUUCUUUCAAAUAUCACAUACAUUGUUUCAAAUACGUGCACAAAAGCGUGCAUGAGGUAAAGCGUGAGUGCACUACCUGGUUGCGUUUUUCAAAGCACCUCCAGGAUUUUGUUUUAAUUUGAUCUGGGUCGGACCUGGACCCGAAUCCAGUAGCUCUUGUGUUUCCGGAGACACCUAUUUCAUCUCCCAAAACCUUACCAAAACUUCCACUUAUCUUCCUAAUUCCUCCCCUAAUCUUUUCCCACACCUCCAGCUAGCUAGCAGCCUGUUAUCAGGUGGAAAAAAAUGUACAGAUUAUUCAUUUUUUUUACUUUCCAAUUUUUUUCUAGACUUUUAUGACUGUAACUCAAGUGAUAACGAGCUGAAAUCAUUUAUGAAGAGAACGAGAUCAACAAAGAUGAGAGUGAGGUCUCACAACCCUAAGUUUCUGUUGUAGACGUUUGACGCCGACCGAUCUUAGUAUUUAUGAUAAAUCGAUUGACUUGAAUUUGAUAUCUGAUAUGAAGUUGAAUCGUCCAACAAAUUGGGACGAUGAAAGUAUACCGCCUAUGCAUCUAAAAAAGCAAAAAGAUACGAAAACGUUACCGGUCUAAUGUUUCCUAUGCAGAUUUUUUUCAAAGGAAGAGAUCCAUCGAGUGAAAAUCCCGUGUAAAUCCUGCCGGUGGAAAACUCGACACAAAUAACUAAACUUACUAUUUUUCUAAAAUAGACAUUCAUUACUUGUUUUAGUUUCGUCCUGUAGUGUCAAUAUAGAAAAAUCGACUAUUUUCUACUCCUGUUCUAAGUCUUCUUCAAAUUCAGUUACAUUAAAUCACAA